GAGUUUGAUCCUGGCUCAGAACGAACGCUGGCGGCAGGCCUAACACAUGCAAGUCGAACGAUAAGUCGCGGUUCGCCGCGACCCAAAGUGGCAGACGGGUGAGGAACAUGUGGGAAUCUACCCAAAGGCGGGGAACAACCCAGAUAAAUCAGGGCUAAUACCCCAUACGCCCAAUCCUUAAUCAGAUUGGGGAAAGAUCUUUCGCCUUCGGAGGAGCCCGCACGGGAUUAGUUAGUUGGCGCGAUAAUAGCGCACCAAGACCAUGAUCCCUAGCUGGUCUGAGAGGAUGAUCAGCCGCACUGGCGAUUCAAUGAAGCACCCGCUAACUCCGUGCCAGCAGCCGCGUAAUACGAGGGUGCAAGCGUUAAUCGGAAUUACUGGGCGUAAAGCGCACGUAGGCGGUUUGAUUAGUCGGAUGUGAAAUCCCCGGGCUUAACCUCGGAACUGCGUUCGAUACUGUCAAACUCGAGUGCAGUAGAGGGAAGCGGAAUUCCGGGAGUAGCGGUGAAAUGCGUAGAUAUCCGGAGGAACAUCAGUGGCGAAGGCGGCUUCCUGGUCUGUUACUGACGCUGAGGUGCGAAAGCAUGGGGAGCAAACAGGAUUAGAUACCCUGGUAGUC
rnacentral:rRNA from 1 species